rnacentral:rRNA from 1 species
UACGUAGGGGGCAAGCGUUGUCCGGAAUCAUUGGGCGUAAAGCGCACGUAGGCGGCCCGAUCAGUCCGUUGUGAAAGUCAAAGGCUCAACCUUUGAAUGCCGAUGGAUACUGUCGGGCUAGAAUUCGGAAGAGGCGAGUGGAAUUCCUGGUGUAGCGGUGGAAUGCGCAGAUAUCAGGAGGAACACCUAUAGCGAAGGCAGCUCGCUGGGACGAUAUUGACGCUAAGGUGCGAAAGCGUGGGGAGCGAACAGGAUUAGAAACCCCCGUAGUCC